rnacentral:sRNA from 1 species
UAUUCUGCCCUACAGGGAAGGAUGAGAAGCUUCGACUAAGGUUCGACUCGAGCGAAGCGAGAGAA